rnacentral:tRNA from 3 species
GGGCCCAUAGCUCAGCGGCAGAGCGGCCGGCUCAUAACCGGUUGGUCCCUGGUUCGAAUCCGGGUGGGCCCACCA